GCAACUUUUGGCACGGGUUCUGUUUAGCUAGCUACUAGUAGUUCCCAACAUAUGCACGAGUGUCCACGUCGGUGCUUCUUAGCCAGAAUAAAUGUCCCACGAAAUGCAUGAACCAUGUUCUACUAGUACUCACGCCAAAGAUAAAAAUAAAAGGGUGCUCGCACUUGUCUCAUGGAUGAUGUACAGAAACUGAUUUUUGUUUGAUUUGGACACGAAUCUAUGCGCCUAUGAAAUAUUUGGACAGAAAAUAAAACAGAUAUGACUGAAAUUUCGAAAUAUCUGGCGAAACUUCGUUACAAACAAGAGUCUGCACGUGCUCUCCAUAUUAGCACCUGUCAUACAAUACCGUUGUGGUGUACUUCCUCGCGGCAAGAGGCGAGCCCCCGAAAAAAAAAAGAACACGGCACUUAUCCUAAAAGAACAGGAGAUUACUCGUCCCCUUU
rnacentral:lncRNA from 1 species